CCUACGGGGGACAGCAGUGGGGGAUAUUGCACAAUGGGGGGAACCCUGAUGCAGCGACGCCGCGUGGGUGAAGAAGCGCCUCGGCGCGUAAAGCCCUGUCAGCAGGGAAGAGAAUGACGGUACCUGAAGAAGAAGCCCCGGCUAACUACGUGCCAGCAGCCGCGGUAAUACGUAGGGGGCAAGCGUUAUCCGGAUUUACUGGGUGUAAGGGGGGCGCAGACGGCGAUGCAAGCCAGGAGUGAAAGCCCGGGGCCCAACCCCGGGACUGCUCUUGGAACUGCGUGGCUGGAGUGCAGGAGGGGCAGGCGGAAUGCCUGGUGUAGCGGUGAAAUGCGUAGAUAUCAGGAGGAACACCGGUGGCGAAGGCGGCCUGCUGGACUGCAACUGACGUUGAGGCCCGAAAGCGUGGGGAGCAAACAGGAUUAGAUACCCCUGUAGUC
rnacentral:rRNA from 1 species